rnacentral:tRNA from 1 species
CGCGGCGUUCCGAAGUGGUUUCGGUACCCGAUUCAUAGUCGGGGAUGCGCGGGUUCGAAUCCCGCCGUCGCGU